AGAGUUUGAUCCUGGCUCAGGACGAACGCUGGCGGCGUGCUUAACACAUGCAAGUCGAACGGAGCACCCUUGAUUGAGGUUUCGGCCAAAUGAUAGGAAUGCUUAGUGGCGGACUGGUGAGUAACGCGUGAGGAACCUGCCUUUCAGAGGGGGACAACAGUUGGAAACGACUGCUAAUACCGCAUGAUACGUAUUGGGGGCAUCCCUGAGACGUCAAAGAUUUAUCGCUGAAAGAUGGCCUCGCGUCUGAUUAGCUGGUUGGUGAGGUAACGGCCCACCAAGGCGACGAUCAGUAGCCGGACUGAGAGGUUGACCGGCCACAUUGGGACUGAGAUACGGCCCAGACUCCUACGGGAGGCAGCAGUGGGGAAUAUUGGGCAAUGGGCGAAAGCCUGACCCAGCAACGCCGCGUGAAGGAAGAAGGCCUUCGGGUUGUAAACUUCUUUUACCAGGGACGAAGGACGUGACGGUACCUGGAGAAAAAGCCACGGCUAACUACGUGCCAGCAGCCGCGGUAAUACGUAGGUGGCAAGCGUUGUCCGGAUUUACUGGGUGUAAAGGGCGUGUAGGCGGAGAUGCAAGUUGGGAGUGAAAUCCAUGGGCUCAACCCAUGAACUGCUCUCAAAACUGUAUCCCUUGAGUAUCGGAGAGGCAAGCGGAAUUCCUAGUGUAGCGGUGAAAUGCGUAGAUAUUAGGAGGAACACCAGUGGCGAAGGCGGAUUGCUGGACAGCAACUGACGGUGAGGCGCGAAAGUGUGGGGAGCAAACAGGAUUAGAUACCCUGGUAGUCCACACUGUAAACGAUGAAUACUAGGUGUGCGGGGACUGACCCCCUGCGUGCCGCAGUUAACACAAUAAGUAUUCCACCUGGGGAGUACGAUCGCAAGGUUGAAACUCAAAGGAAUUGACGGGGGCCCGCACAAGCGGUGGAUUAUGUGGUUUAAUUCGAAGCAACGCGAAGAACCUUACCAGGGUUUGACAUCCUGCUAACGAAGUAGAGAUACAUUAGGUGCCCUUCGGGGAAAGCAGAGACAGGUGGUGCAUGGUUGUCGUCAGCUCGUGUCGUGAGAUGUUGGGUUAAGU
rnacentral:rRNA from 1 species